GGAGUUUGGACCGUGUCUCAGUUCCAAUGUGGGGGACCUUCCUCUCAGAACCCCUACCGAUCGUCGGCUCGGUGGGCCGUUACCCCGCCGACUGCCUAAUCGGACGCAUCCCCAUCCCAUAGCGAUGAAUCUUUGAUUCCACUCGGAUGCCGUCGAAGAAUCACAUAGGGUAUUAAUCCGACUUUCGCCGGGCUAUGCCCUACUAUGGGGAAGGUUGGAUACGCGUUACUCACCCGUGCGCCGGUCGCCAUCAGUCUUAGCAAGCUAAGACCAUGCUGCCCCUCGACUUGCAUGUGUUAAGCCUGUAGCUAGCGUUCAUC
rnacentral:rRNA from 1 species